GAGGCCUAGUGGUUAGAGCGUCUGCCUCGAAUGCAGGAGAUCGUUGGUUCGAUCGCCCGGUCGUGUCA